ACGCUCGACACCUACGGGAAGCAGCAGUGGGGAAUAUUGCACAAUGGGGGAAACCCUGAUGCAGCGACGCCGCGUGAGCGAAGAAGUAUUUCGGUAUGUAAAGCUCUAUCAGCAGGGAAGAAACUGACGGUACCUGACUAAGAAGCACCGGCUAAAUACGUGCCGGCAGCCGCGGUAAUCUGAGCGGGCUGGCAAGGC
rnacentral:rRNA from 1 species